rfam:Triticum aestivum genome assembly, contig: Triticum_aestivum_CS42_TGACv1_scaffold_544422_6DS
GGGGGUCCAUGCCACAUGUUAGGUGUAGCUGGUGUAUUCAGCGGUUUUUUGGUUAGUGUGAUAGAUUGGAUCAACACUGAGACACGACCUAGACUCCUACGGGAGGCAAUAGUGGAGAAUUUUCCGCAAUGGGCGAAAGCCUGAUGGAGCAAUGCCGCAUGGAGGUGGAAGGCCUACGAGUCAUCAACUCUUUUCUCAGUUAUUUCAAGGCAAUUUAUAGGAAUCCUGAUUUUUCAAAGUAGUCGUCAACGGGUUGAUCCCGCCAGCAAUCAGCCGAUUCACUGGUUACCA